rnacentral:lncRNA from 1 species
CCUAUCCUGACUUUUCCUCUAAGUAAUUAAUACUGGACAUAUGUGAUGUGGAAAAUUUCACAUAGUUGUUCUUUAAUGAAUUUCUUCCUCUUGUCUUCUGGAUUUCACCAAAAUCAGUGUUUUUGUGACAGUGGUUGCACUAGCUUUAAAUUACUAGCCUGUAUUAUAGCACUCUAGAAUGUCAUCCCAACACUGCUAACUCAUGUAUUUUUUUCUAAGUGAAGUUCUUUAAAUUUAGUGGUCAUGUGUGUGGGACUCUAUAGCCAGGAGAUCAAUAUCAGAUUCAUUUUCAGUUGUUCUCCACCUUAUUUUUUGAGACAAACUUCUUAACUGAAACCAGAGUUUACAGUUUUAGAUGGACUCUCUGGCCAUCCAUACACAAGGCUCUUUCUUUUUCUGCCUUUCCAGUAAUGAAAUUACAACCUUGAUAUGUCACCAGAUGUUUCAUCUGGGUGCUGAGUAAUUGAAUCAAUGCUUUCAUGUUUGCAUGAAAAUCAUUUAUCAACUGAGCCAUCUCUACAGUCUAAUUUUUCUAGCUUUUGCUCCAUUUUAUCUGUAGUUUACUAACAUGGCAAUCUCAACUGAUCUUUUUCCUGUGUCUUUUCCAGAAGACAAUUCUGUACCCAUUUCUUGCGGGUUUUAUUAUUCUUUGUCUCCAUCAGUGCACCAGGAGUUGUACCUGCUUUUGUACAUCUCUUUUCUCAUUAGCAUCCCAGUGAGGAAUCUGAAUUGACAAAUCAUCAAUGAGCCUGAUGGAGAAGCACUAAGUAGAAUUACAAUGUUGGUUCUGUUCCCAUGGGUAGUUCACAGUUAAUUCCAGUGAAAGUUGAAGAAUGCUCAGAGAGAAAUAUAUAUAUGAAAAGAGAUAUUUCAUAGUUGUCACCAUGAACAUUUGCUCAUGUUUGUUGCUGUGAAUCUGUGACUCCAAUACUUCUGUCCCCUAGGACUGUUUCGUGGACCACUGUUCUUGCUGCUCUUCUGAUCCCUACCCCAUGGACAUUUUAUUUGUUUGAGUCUUCCACAGACUAUUGCACUAAACAUUCACUAGAGGAACAUCCUAUCCCCCAUAUAGAUACUUGUUAUCAAAACACAUAUGAAUUUGUCUCCAGUUUGUGCCUGUCUUUUGUCCAGACUCCUUUCUUAAUGGAACUUCCUGUCAUUGGGGUUUUUCCUAACUACUUUCAAAUUGGAGAUCAC